rnacentral:rRNA from 1 species
AUGUCCUGUGGCCAACAGAAUAUAGGAAGUGCUGAUGAUGACUCUGCCGGGGGGCUCAAGGUGUAUAUGUAUAUCUAUGGUCUCCCUGAAAAAUACAGCAAGCCGCUGAAGAAGGAACCAAGAUGCCUGAACUACAUGUUCGCCGUGGAGAUCUUCAUGGAACGGUUUCUGUUGCCAAGUGUGAUCCAGAUUUUAAUCCCGAGGAUGCAAUUUGGUUGUACACACGCUAUUCAGAUGUGCAGCGCAAUUGAGCAGAUUACGACGAAAUGA